rnacentral:tRNA from 2 species
GCGGACGUAGCUCAGUUGGUAGAGCGCAACCUUGCCAAGGUUGAGGUCGCGAGUUCGAGUCUCGUCGUCCGCU